GGGAGCUGCUUGCUCUGCCUGAAGGAUCGCUAUUAAUAUCAAUGUAUGUCUCAUAUGGCUGUAGGUGGGCCAUAUGGAUCCUUCCUGCACCCAUAAGAGGCAGCCUCGGUGCCCCCGCGAGCUGAUGUGUGAAACUUGGGUCCGUCGGGAGCUGGGAGAGCGUAGCAGAAGUUCUCCAGGUUGUCCUUAUCUGGCCUUUUUAGUCGGUAAAAUGUAUGCGACCGACUUCUGCGUGCGUUAGGGUUCAUUUUUAUUAUUUUUUUUUAAAAUCAGAUUAUGGUUCUGAGAGAAGCGUGCUGUGCUGGGUGGCGAGUGAACGGGCAAAUACUGUCCUGGGGAGCGGAAAGCUGGAAGUGCCGGCUCCACCGCCUCAGCCUGGAGUCUGCAGGGAGAAGGAAAGACAGCAGCGAGAGGAGGUGUAGCCGAAAGCUUAAAACAUCCCUGUUUUUCCAAGAACAGUUGCAGUCUCAGAGCUGAACUUAAAAGAGAGGGCGCGAGAAGUAGCGUAUUUUGAUUCCCGAGUUAUAAUGGAUUUUCCCUUUGUAUCAGUUUGGACAGAGAUCAAAGGUAUAACAGGGCCCUGCUGCACUAAUUUUUGGUUACUGUUGCACUUCGCAUUACCUCAGAGCGGAAAAUACGCGUGUGGCAAUUUGUUAAUACCUCUGCUAUUUCUACCUGUUGUUUACCUGGAUGAUUUUUUUUUUUUUGUCCGGCUACACCGAAUGCACAGAUGCAGCAUUUGUGGCAAACUGCAUGCACGGUUUGGAAACGAGCGCUCUCGUCUGCAGUCGCCAGCCUGGAGAAUUAACGCUGAGCCCAGGCGAUGGGCGAGGGGGUGGCAGUUACUGCUUUUCCGAACCGUUGUUUAGGGCUGUGGCGCUUUCUUUUUGGACGUUUCCUUCUGUAACCCUGAGCACCAGCAGCACAUCCUUUCUGCGUGAGGGUUUCUGUCGAAUACGUGUUCUGCUUUGGGCGAUAAGACGCGGUUGUGCCGAGUACGUUCAGCUGGUGAGAUGUGAGUUUGCACGAGCCCGUUGCUGGCUGGAAAUUAAACCCUCCUCGAGGUGUAAGUGAAUCCCUGGGCAGGUUUUUUCGGAAUAGUCCUGUAACCCUGCGCUUACCAACUGUUGAUUGUGCAGGAAUUUUUAAACUGCGGGGCAUUCUCUUGUCCGCUGAGCUUUCUCUUGUAGCUUAAGAGUUGGGAGAGCCGUGAGGGUGUCUGGCUGAUGUGGUGGGGCUCACGGGCCAAAUUCAGAGCGCGCAGGAAAGGUGUGGGGAUGCAGGAUUUCAGGAAGAGAAGCAUAUCGGGAAUGUCGCAAAAGUGGCGGGUUGUCUUGGAGAGAGUUUUGGCCACAAAGGCCUUCUUCAAACUCCGUGUUCCCACCUAGGGGAAGGAGAGUUUAGCUCUGCUUUGCGUGACUUUUCUUCCUAGUGUUUUUCUGCGGAAGGUUUGGUGGCCAAGUGUCUGAGAAGUUUGGGGGCGCUGCUCGUCUCUGCUUCAAGGAGUUGUUGACAUCGUUGUUCUGGAAAACUUAGCAGAUCUCUUGGGUGAAGCUUAUUUUGCUGUGAAUUUCUUACUUGUGCAGCACCUAUGUAAAAAGUUCAAGAAAACAUUUCUAACAUCCACCCCCCAAGUAUAUUUUGGUCUGUAUAUAUUUUUUUUUUUUUUGCCCUGCAAUUGUGGAGGAGAAAUGCUUUUACCAAGACCAUACUUUGCUCUUUCUCAGUUGUUCUCUUUUACCCACCGCUCCCCCAGGGAAGCUCUCGUGAUGCUCGAGAGGAGCCUUAUAAAGAUGGCUGGUUACGUUUGGGCACAGUCCUGUGUUACGGGACAGCCGCUCGGGUUCUUGGUUAGGGGUGGGGUGCUUCUGGAAAUUUGGGAGAUUGUGUGUGUAUUGUGUGGAUCAAAGCUGGGGUUUGGGGUUGGUUUUUUUGUGGGUGUUUUUUUUUGGUUUUUUUUUUUUUUUUUAGGAGGGUGUUGUUUUUUCUGUGGUCAGAGCCCAAGUUACUGAACCAAAACAACCCCGUUGCCCUGCGGGGCAGGGAGCACAUCCCUUCCACACUGCUGCUGGCAGUGGUGCGGGGCGUCCAUGUGCAGUGCUUUUCCUUUGGGCCAAGCUUCCCCAGGAAGAGACAGGACCCUGAGUCAUUUCAGCCCAAGUGGUAAAAAGUUCCGAAGCAAGCCCCAGCUGGCACGCUACCUGGGAAGCUCAAUGGACCUGAGCACUUUUGACUUCCGCACAGGAAAAAUGUUGAUGAAUAAAAUGAACAAGAACAGACAGAGGAUGCGCUAUGACUGUUCCAACCAAGCCAAAGGCAAGCCUGAUUUGAACACCGCCCUGCCUGUCAGACAGACAGCCUCCAUAUUCAAACAACCUGUCACAAAGAUCACAAACCAUCCCAGCAAUAAGGUGAAGAGCGAUCCUCAGAAAGCUGUGGACCAGCCCCGGCAGCUCUUCUGGGAGAAGAAAUUAAGUGGACUGAAUGCUUUUGACAUUGCAGAGGAGCUGGUGAAAACAAUGGACCUUCCAAAAGGUUUACAAGGGGUUGGACCUGGUUGCACUGAUGAAACCCUUCUCUCCGCUAUCGCUAGCGCUCUCCACACCAGCACGAUGCCUAUCACUGGACAGCUCUCUGCGGCCGUGGAGAAGAAUCCUGGAGUUUGGCUAAACACCUCACAGCCGCUUUGCAAAGCAUUUAUGGUGACAGAUGAAGAUAUUAGGAAGCAAGAGGAACUGGUGCAGCAGGUGCGGAAGAGGCUGGAGGAAGCCCUGAUGGCUGACAUGCUUGCCCAUGUAGAGGAAAUAGCGAGAGAUGGGGAAGCCCCUUUGGAGAAAGAAGGAGGCGAGGAAGAAGGAGAAGAGGAAGAGGAGGAGGAGGAGCAGGACCAUGACCAGGAGAUGGAGAACGUAUAGUCCAGGGAGUUCCAUCUAAGAAUUCCCAGUAUAAACCCUAUCAGCAGGGUCAGCACAACAAAGCCAAGAGUGUCUGCCAAGUAAAUUGCACCAACAAUCCAACUGUACCUAUGAGCAUUUCGAUGUACGCUUCAGGAAACGUUGAGAAGCUGAUGGUUCAUUAAUUGCUGGGUAGUUUUGAAGAUGGAACUUGACUAAACUCUACUCCCCCUCCUUUUUCUAAAGGGGUAGGGUAAUUGGGAAUGCAAAAGUGGGAGGGAAUAAAGGAAUAUAAAAUGGUGGGAGGGGAAAAUACUAGGAACCAAAUUUCCUGUCCUUUUUUUUUUUUUUGUUGUGGGUCAGUGAUAGGUGAUACAUUUUUAAGCUUUUCUAUCAAAGUACCUUUAACAGUGACCCAUAGAAACAAUUUUCUCUCCAACACAAGUGCGAGAGAUGCUGUUUCACUCCUUGGCUACUCUGCUGUAGGCUACCUGUUUGUACCAGACUGUAGGGAGGUCAUUUUAUGUUGUGGAUUGUCAUUCCAUGUGUCAGUUUGGGUCACUGAAUUUCCUUUUCCUCGCAAGACCACAUUGGUCUUGGAAGUGUAGUCUCAGAGCUGAACGGCCAGUGCCUCUUCCACCUGAUGUUUUGAUUAGUAGGGGAAGUUACACCCGAGGAAUUGGUCUUACAUCAAUGGCAAUCGUUUUUUUUAGUUAGUUCCAGCACCACACCGAAUGCACUACCAUGCACGUUUUUGAUACGGAGUUGUGCGUACGUCCCAGCACAGCCGAACGGAGUUUCGCCGAUUAAAUAUACCCACUCAGUGGUAUAUUCUGCUUUGGUUUAAGUCUGGUCAGAAGGACCUUCUCAACUCGGAAUGGAGGGACGACUCCUUUCUGACUGACAAUGAGGAAAACUUCCUCCUCCUGGUGCCAAGAACCCUGACCUCUCUUUCUCUGUGUGUGGAGGGAAGGGGAUCCAUUCCAAUAGGUGUGUCUACACAUCUGCUUUCGUGUGCAGUAAUGUUCUGACCUCUUUUAAAACAAGAAAGGAAAAAGGUUGAUUUUUCUAUAAUUGAUAUCUAAAAAUGAAUUUAAAGCUUUUUAUUAAGUAUGAAAUCUUUCUUAUUUGCAUGUGCAGUGAAGUGACCAGCAUUUUGUGUCCAAAAAUGAAAUGAUGUGAAACCUGCCUUAAUGUGUUUAUAAGUAUUUGGCUUCACCAUGGGUACCUUGAUUGAUUCCUCAGUCUCUUCUAGUACAUCUGUGAGCAUAUUGGGGUAACUUGUGGCUAAAAAUGGAUUUACCUGGGGAGGGAGGAUAGUGAGAGGGGCGGAAGAUGAGAAUUUAUAGCUUGGAGAAUGUGUUGAAUGGGUUGCAAAAGUUAUUUUAGUCUUAGGGUAUCCAUUGCGUAAUUCACGCGUGGAUGUCUCAGCUGAGAGUACAGUAUAAAGUGGUGGAUUAAAUAUUGUGCCACUGACCAAUUGUACAAGUUGUUGGUAUCCCAAAACUUGGGGAAGAAAGUAGCUCCCAGAGCCUUUAUCAUGUAAGAAUGGUUAGCAGUGACAGCCAGGGACCAGGGGAAUUGCCUGGAAAGUAAAUAGCCUUUGGGAGUAGUUCAGCUUAGUGAUCUGAGUAGGUUUAAGCUCCUUGAAAAAUAUCCCAUGCCAAAGUGAUUGAUACUGUAUUAACUCUUUUCUUAAAGAUUUGAAAAUACAAAAAUCUUUGAUAUUGCUCAUUUGGAGUACUGCAAGAAGACUGAAUUGUAGUUUGCUGCUGCUCUACCAGAGAUUCUUCUAGUCUGCAUCAAGCCCCUCCCUGGAGGUUUUGUGCUGCGCCCCUUCCAGUUAUUUCAGCGGGGACGCUCAUGCGUUUUUGUUGUGGGCUCCAUUCUGAGAUUUGGAUCCUGAUAUUUGGGACCUGGCAGAGGGGAAUACAGAGCGAAAGUUGUGGAAAGCCCAUUCGUUCUUGCUGCAGAGUCUUCCCAUGUCCUCACCAAGUAAGAGGCUGCCAGGGUGUCCCGUCCAGUGGGAAAGUUGCUGGUGUGGUCCUUGGAAUCUCACCUCUAGCAGUUUCUAACCCGUGGUUAUAGAGGUGUUCUUUUGACCAUGGCAAAAGUGUUUCCUUUUUAAAACUUGCUUAAUAUCUAGUAACGUCUUGACUUCUAUUUGAAUCUAAAUACGUUGUAAGCAGAAGUAGCACCAGAACUUAGAUGAUUGAGGUGUUGCUACUAAUAUUUUGAUGCAUUGACUAUCAAGUUGAAAUUGCUGGCAGCUUGCGUGCCAACUGUUUUGUUUUCACCACUCUGCUUUCCCCGUCCAGCUCUUUCCUUCAGUCCUUUAAAAGUUUAUUAAAAGUUUCCAUUCGUAUGGAGAAGUUGGUUGUUCAAAGUACCAAAAAGGGGCCCAGGACUCCUAUCGCAUCCCAAGAAACUUAAAUAACUUUACCUGCUUAUCCAGACAGCCUACUGCCGUGGACGUGACUGCUGGGCAUGUAGUGGUCUGCCGGCGUUGAAUGUAUCCCCGAGGUGGAGAAGGCAGUUGUUACUUGAGGUAUAUCUCUUUAAGCAGGCGAUUGGUAAUGAACAUACUUAAGUGAGUGGAUUUGGGGCAAAACUUAACUUUUUAUGAAUAUACAGCAGUUGUUACAGAACAUACUAACAGUGGCGUUGUCCGUUGUUCCAUCUGAGAUCAAGUUCAUCUGCUUGGGGAAGUACUAGUGAGGGGAUGCUUUUGAAACCGGUAAUUCUUUCCAUCGGCGGUAAUGGCGCCUUCCUGUUGCCGUCACAUAUUGUAAAUGUAUGUAAAUACGGAGCUGCGAUGUGAAACAGCCUUAGGUUUGUCCUACGCGCUGUUUUUUUGAUUUUUUUCUACUAUUUUGAUUAUUUUCUACUAAAACAAUAGUACCACGCUCUGCGGACAGACAGUUACAUUGGUAGAGUUUAGUCCUCUUCGGAGAUAACGUAUGAGCUUAUUUUAAUGGUCCUUAGGCAGCUUCACUAAGGGGUAGGCUCUGGUCCAGCCCAGCUAAAGUUUUGCAUCUUUUUUUCUGUAGAGAGUGUAAUUUGGGAUACAAACCACCCGAGCUCACACAAGCUCCAGUUCUUACGCUGUGUCAUGCUCAGUCAGGUUUUUCUUGCUUUAUCGGGAAACAGCAGCCUGCCUAAUUCUGCAGGGCACCGGCUGGAGGAGAUGGGGGAUGAACUGGUUUGGUUGAUGUUGGUUGAUAGGAUGAAAACCCUCGGAAUGCCGCUUUGCUCUGCAAAGAACUAACGAAGUUACAGGGAAUGUAAUGAUCUCCCCGUGUGUAUUAUCAGCGUUAUUUUUACUGAAUUCUGGUCGGAUGAAUUUUGUGCAAUCAAUAAAAAUGACGAAUUUGCAUGGAUAUGGGUACGGUCUGGAUUUGGCCCGCAGAGCUUUUGUAGGUGGUUCUGCCCAGGAAAAGUUCGCUUGAUUCACAUCUGAAAUUGAACUUGCUGAACUGGCUGUUGAGCAAGAAAAGGGAGGAGUUUUCUUGCUUGUAAACUGAGCACAUUGGGAAGGGAAAACAGCCAUGACUGACACGGCUGGACUGCGGGAAUGUAGGCCUGUUAAACCCUGCCUACGGAGGCUUUGGCGUCAUGGCUGUGAGUUGUUUUCUAGUGAUAAUAUUACAUGAAAAAUAUUUUUGACGUUAGAAUUCGCGGGUAAAUGUACACUCUUGUUCUGUUU